CACGAAACGUUUGUUCGCCAUCACAGCAACCUAACUAAAUGUAUUAUUUUUUUGUAUUUUUAUAAUUGAUGAUAAAAAUACGCAAAUAUUUAUUGUUUUUAUCAUAAUCACAAAUAUACAAUAAAUAUAAUGUACUUAGUUAGGUUGCUGUGGCCUGUGGUGGCGAACAAACGUUUCGUG
rnacentral:miRNA from 1 species